CUCUGCAUAGUUGAAGGAAACCCAUCCCUUGCACUUUCACUAGCAACUCAAAUAUCCUUCAAAUUACUCUCUCGUUCCAGCCUAUCCAUGGAGUUUCAAGUAUACAACAAGAUACCAUCAUUCAAAGAACUCUUCCUCAACACACCAUUAUCACAAGGCUUUGUGGACCAAGGGGGAUUAGCACUGCUUUCCCAAGAUGAGUUUAUGUGAUUAUGAUCUUCAGGCUUUGCCUAACCAGGUUGGCUGGCUGGUGCUGACAGGACGGAGCUGAGGCUAGGGCUAAAUUCCUAUUUUAGACUUCCGCUGUAGCAAGUACUCAUAUCCGUCUUUUGUUUUCCCAACUUAAGAUCUUCAUGUUAAAUUUCAAAUGAUAUACCUGACCGAGCUUAGACUCUUCACUACUAAAUUUAUGCUAAUGAAUGUCGGUUGUCAGAAGCAUGAAACAAAACUUGUGAUCCAAAGGGGCCUAGCCCGACUCGUUAUCUUAUUAUUCGGGUUUUAACAAGGUUGUUCCUUGUUUAUUUCUAUGAAUUAGUUGCACCUCGA